CGAUAGAGAAAUCUCCUCUAUUAACAGCAACAAUGACAUGACUCUCCAAAUGAGCCAAAGCAGCUGGAAGAAACACAGGGCGAAUUGGCUCUUUCAAGACAGUGGAGAAUCUGAGGCUGAUAAGUUUCGUGCUAUUCAAUGGCAGGCUGCUGUGACAAGGGCUGCAAAUGCCACUCUUGGGACAUGUUAAUGAAGGCUCGGCAUGCACAACACGAGACAAUUAUUCUGUUCUCCCUGGCACCGGGUCCUCCUGGCAGGAGAGCUGCCGAGGUGGUUGGAAGGAGUUCAGUGCAUAGUUCAGGAAGAAAGCCAGAUGGAGAAGGAACAGGACUUGCCGUCUGGCUCAGGCAAUGCCAAACAAACAGACCAAGCGCUCGUCUGCUCGCCUUGCCUUGCCCUGAUCGUCGGGAACAUAUGCAGGAAAAGUAUGGUGGGCGGAAGAGGUGGAGACUUCCGGUGGCGGAUGCCAGAGGGAUCUGGCUGCUUCCGGUCUGCGUGUAGGCCGCCAUCUCUGAAGCUGCCUAGGCUUGGGGCCGCCUGCCCUAGUGGCCUGGAGAUGUUGUCAACAUAUGAUGCGAGGAGCCAUUCCAAGACAAAACAUGGCCAGUGA
rnacentral:lncRNA from 13 species